UACGUAGGGUGCAAGCGUUGUCCGGAUUUAUUGGGCGUAAAGAGCGUGUAGGCGGCUUUGCAAGUCCGUUGUGAAAACUCGAGGCUCAACCUCGAGACGCCGGUGGAAACUGCAAAGCUAGAGUCCGGAAGAGGAGAGUGGAAUUCCUGGUGUAGCGGUGAAAUGCGCAGAUAUCAGGAAGAACACCCGUGGCGAAGGCGGCUCUCUGGGACGGUACUGACGCUGAGACGCGAAAGCGUGGGGAGCGAACAGG
rnacentral:rRNA from 1 species